rnacentral:rRNA from 1 species
GAGUUUGAUCUUGGCUCAGAACGAACGCUGGCGGCAGGCCUAACACAUGCAAGUCGAACGAACCAGCAAUGGUGAGUGGCGCACGGGUGCGUAACGCGUGGGAAUCUACCCUUGACUACGGGACAACGUCGGGAAACUGACGCUAAUACCGUAUAAUGUCUCCGGACCAAAGAUUUAUCGGUCAAAGGGAUGAGCCCCGCGUUAGAUUAGGUAGUUGGUGGGGUAAUGGCCUACCAAGCCGACGAUCUAUAGCUGGUCUGAGAGGAUGAUCAGCCACACUGGUACUGAGACACGGACCAGACUCCUACGGGAGGCAGCAGUGAGGAAUAUUGGACAAUGGAGGCAACUCUGAUCCAGCCAUGCCGCGUGAGUGAAGAAGGCCUUCGGUUG